AUCUAGGCGUAGGCGCAGCGAAAGCAAGUCUUAAUAGGGCGAUUAGUUUAAUGAAUUAGACCCGAAAACGAAUGAGCUUACCAUGAGCAGGUUGAAAGCAAGGUAACACUUGCCGGAGGACCGAACCAGUUGACGUUGAAAAGUCUUUGGAUGACUUGUGGUAAGGGGUGAAAGGCCAACCAAAUUCGUAGAUAGCUGGUUUUCCGCGAAAACUAUUUAGGUAGUGCGUUGAAUAAACAGACUUUUGGAGGUAGAGCACUAAAUGGGCUAGGGGAGAGAAAUCUUUACCAAACCUAAUAAAACUCCGAAUGCCAAAAGUCAUUCCUCAACAGACAGACUGUGGGUGCUAAGGUCCAUGGUCGAGAGGGGAACAGCCCAGAUCACCAGAUAAGGUCCCUAAAUCAUGAUUAAGUGUGAAAGGAUGUGGAGAUUCCUUAACAGCCGGGAGGUUGGCUUAGAAGCAGCCAUCCUUUAAAGAUAGCGUAACAGCUCACCGGUCUAAUAGAGUUUCUGCGCCUAAGAUGUAACGGGGCUCAAAUCAUGUACCGAAUCUGUGGGUGUAUAAAGUUUUCGAAUUUUAUACGCGGUAGCGGAACGUUCUGUAAGCCUGUGAAGGGAUACUCGUGAGAGAUCCUGGAGGUAUCAGAAGUGCGAAUGCUGACAUAAGUAACGAUUAACAGAGUGAAAAACUCUGUCGCCGAAAAUCCAAGGUUUCCUGCGCAAGGUUAAUCCGCGCAGGGUUAGUCGGCCCCUAAGGCGAGGCCGAAAGGCGUAGUCGAUGGAAAACAGGUUAAUAUUCCUGUACCGCAUAUAACUGCGAUGGGGUGACGGAGAAGGUUAGACCAGCCGGGCGUUGGUUGUCCCGGUUUAAGCGUGUAGGGAGUGCUCUUUGGAAAAUCCGGGAGCGCAAUCCUGAGGCGCGAUGACGAGGUUUCAUUUGAAACCGAAGUGGUUGAUGCCAUGCUUCCAAGAAAAUCCUCUAAGCUUCAGAUCACAUGUGACCGUACCCCAAACCGACACAGGUGGACAGGGCGAGAAGCCCAAGGCGCUUGAGAGAACUCGGGUGAAGGAACUCGGCAAAAUGACACCGUAACUUCGGGAGAAGGUGUGCCUCCAUUACGUGAAAGCCCUUGCGGCUGGAGCGGAAGGAGGUUGCAACAAAGAGGUGGCUGCGACUGUUUAUUAAAAACACAGCACUCUGCAAACUCGAAAGAGGAAGUAUAGGGUGUGACGCCUGCCCGGUGCCGGAAGGUUAAUUGAUGGGGUUAGUCCUCGGACGAAGCUCUUGAUCGAAGCCCCGGUGAACGGCGGCCGUAACUAUAACGGUCCUAAGGUAGCGAAAUUCCUUGUCGGGUAAGUUCCGACCUGCACGAAUGGCGUAACGAUGGCCACACUGUCUCCACCCGGGAC
rnacentral:rRNA from 1 species